rnacentral:lncRNA from 1 species
CAGCCCUGUGAAGACUGAGGUUCUGACGAAAGUCAAGAAAAAUCUGCAUUGCAACUCUUCGAAGAGAAGAAUGUGACAUCUUGAUUACAUCAAGAGUGGCAGGGCUGGGACACCAGAGUUUCCGGAAUGGCUCCUCAGGGCUCCAGCUGCAACAAACUCGCUGUGCCAAUGUGCAUGCAGUUCCUGAUUCUAAUCAAAUAAGUAUCAUAACCGAGUUCACCCGAAAUAGAGUAUACUGCACAGAAACUUAAUAAUGGGUGAGAAAGACACAUUCGUGACAUUAGCAAUUAUUACCAUACGUGGUCAAAUCCAUUUUUAUUUUCUGUUUUCUCAUUUUGUGAGUCCUCUGGGAUCUACACACAGGUACCAAUUUUUUGCCUAUUCCUGGCACCGCGCACUGCUUAAUCAUCCUCCCCACACUGACUUUGUUGACCAUGCUCGAUUGUCAAUACCAAUAGUUCUCCAGGGGUGGCUCAGAUACCCACAGGGGUCCCUGAGAUCCUUUAAGGGGUCUGCGAGAUCAAAACAAUUUUCAUAAUACUAAGAUACUGUGUGCCUUUUUUAUUCUCAUUCUGUCAUCAAUUUACAGUGUCGUUUUCCAGAGGCAGCUGCAUAAAUCACAGGAGACUGAAUACAGGAGAAGAUGUAAGAAUCCAGUCAGCUUCUAUCAAACCAGACAUAAAAGACAUUUGCAGAUAUGUAAAACAAUGCCACUCUUCACAUUGCAUUUUUAAAAAAUAUUAUUUCCCAG